GGGGAUUUAGCUCAGUUGUAGAGUGCUUGCCUAGCAAGCUUGAGGCCCUGGGUUCGGUCCCCAGCUCCU
rnacentral:tRNA from 1 species